AGAGUUUGAUCAUGGCUCAGAACGAACGCUGGCGGCAGGCCUAACACAUGCAAGUCGAGCGCACUCUUCGGAGUGAGCGGCGGACGGGUUAGUAACGCGUGGGAACGUACCCAGAUCUAAGGAAUAGCCACUGGAAACGGUGAGUAAUACCUUAUACGCCCUUCGGGGGAAAGAUUUAUCGGAUUUGGAUCGGCCCGCGUUAGAUUAGGUAGUUGGUGGGGUAAUGGCCUACCAAGCCUACGAUCUAUAGCUGGUUUUAGAGGAUGAUCAGCAACACUGGGACUGAGACACGGCCCAGACUCCUACGGGAGGCAGCAGUGGGGAAUCUUAGACAAUGGGCGCAAGCCUGAUCUAGCCAUGCCGCGUGAGUGAUGAAGGCCUUAGGGUCGUAAAGCUCUUUCGCCUGUGAUGAUAAUGACAGUAGCAGGUAAAGAAACCCCGGCUAACUCCGUGCCAGCAGCCGCGGUAAUACGGAGGGGGUUAGCGUUGUUCGGAAUUACUGGGCGUAAAGCGCAUGUAGGCGGAUUAGAAAGUUAGGGGUGAAAUCCCGGGGCUCAACCUCGGAACUGCCUCUAAAACUCCUAGUCUAGAGUUCGAGAGAGGUGAGUGGAAUUCC
rnacentral:rRNA from 1 species